rnacentral:rRNA from 1 species
CAGCAGCCGCGGUAAUACGUAGGGGGCAAGCGUUGUCCGGAAUCAUUGGGCGUAAAGCGCGUGUAGGCGGCUCGAUAAGUCUGCUGUGAAAGUCCAGGGCUCAACCCUGGAAUGCCGGUGGAAACUGUCGAGCUCGAGUCCGGAAGAGGCAAGUGGAAUUCCUGGUGUAGCGGUGAAAUGCGCAGAUAUCAGGAGGAACACCAAUGGCGAAGGCAGCUUGCUGGGACGGUACUGACGCUGAGACGCGAAUGCGUGGGGAGCAAACAGGAUUAGAGACCCCAGUAGUCCCUGUCUCUUAUAC